AUUUCCAGCUCCAGGGCUUGCUUAUUUUAACUGUGGUUUUACUUUGACCUCUUAAUUUACAACUUUUUCACUGAUAUUGUUGGAAAACCAAAUGAUUUCUUGAUGUAGUUUUCAAUUUGUGUUUUGUUCUUCUGUCAGGCUCUUCCCCCGUGCCUUGUCCCCGGGGGGAUACGAGGGCUUAAUUCUGUUCUUGACAGGGAAGUUAAUAGGCACAGAAUUGUUUUGACUCUGCAGGGCAGGGGAGGAGAUGCAGUGCUGACUGAUCAAAACCCAAGUUUUCGGGAGCUGGCCUGCAGCCGUGCCCCUGCCCUGGAAGCAAGGCUGGAUUAGUGCAGAGCCCUCAGGUGGCGCCGCCUCGGCCCAGCCCCUCCUCUCCCAGCUGCCUGCGCUGCUGCUCCCUGCUCUGACAAGGAGCCUUUGUUGCUGCUUCCCUCUCACCCGAGUACAGAGAGUCCCCUCCACCUUGGAGCAUCUCCCAGGAAGAAGGGGUCCUCCGUGCUUCCCGCAGCCAAGGGGCUCGAAUACACAGAGGCCAGUAAUGCUUCCCAGCUUCCUGGCACCCCCUGGCAGGCGGGCACUGGCACAAAGAAGUGCCUCUGCUCUCUGCCCGCGCUCUGGGAGAGGUGCCACCUCGAGCAACCAGGAGGGGAAGACGCUGGGAGGAAAGGCAACGCUCCUAUAAUGCAUCCUAAUGCAUCAAGGUUGAGCAGCUCCACACAGACAGCCUUUGUCACCGUGUGCUUGGGCCCCGGUACAUCUGUGAGAGAUCCUGGCAGUCCCCGCAGCUGAUUCUAUGGGAGGCUUUGGCAGGGUUUAAAGAUGGAAGAAAGUUUUGCAGUGUAACUUCAGGCAGCCGGCCCCUUCCGGAGGAGCACAGAGCUUCCAGCUAUAGAAGAGCCAGGCUCAUCACGGGCUGAGAUCCGGCUCAGAUGUUGUCUCCCUGCAUCGCUGCCUGUGUGAAGGGCUUGGCUGUUUGAAAUCCUGUGCUCUUCAACACUGCUCUGCGUGGAAGGGAAGCAGCUUGGAAGAUGUGGGGCAAGAAAGGAGGCAGUUCCCAGGGAAACUGCAACCAGAAAUGGAGUAAUGCCUCCUCUUGCAGCUGCCAAAGGGGGUGUGCAGGGCCCAGCAGCCUGGGUCAGCUCUCUGCAGCCACAAGUGCUGGGACGUGACCUGCUCGUGGCAGCCACACUUGGCUUGAAAGGGCUUCUGUAGUUCUGAGCAGGUUCAGCUCUGCCCAGCUUCGUUAGGCACCUACAGAUCCCAUUCUGGAGACGUUUUGCUGUACAAUGUAUUUUAGAGCCGCCGUCUCCUUCCUCCUCCGGAAGAUGAAGGAUCCAAUUUUUCCCAUGUCCCCAAAUGGGGACAUCUGACAUAACGUUUGAAGGCUUGCUUUCAUUAGAGCAUAAUUUCAGAACAGCCAAGGAAACAGACUGGCUCUCAGCACCUCAAGCUUCAAAAUCAGCAGCAGCUGCGAUGUUAUCCGGAGUUGCGCUUCUGUGUGCUGGGAAAAGGAGCUGGUGGAAUCGGUGCCGUGGCAGCAACGGUUCUGGAG